UUGGCAAGAUCGAUCUUGGAAGGUCACUCUCCUUGUCACUGUUCUGGUGGCAUGGAGGAGCUUAGUGCUCUGUCUAUGAUGUUCAGUCCCUUUCUACCAUGUUAGAGAUAAAGCCUGCCUUGAGUCUUUGCUUGCUCAUUUCCUACAAUUUCUCAGAGUUCUCUGGACAUGACUGAAAAGAUGAGCCAUAUAGGAAUCAGCU